rnacentral:rRNA from 1 species
UGUGGUGGUUUAACGCAAUGGCACAACCCGUUCUCAUUCCGAACACGGAAGUUAAACGUUGUAGUGGCGAUGGUAGUUCGCAAGAGCGAGAGUAGCUAACCGCCACAA